AAGUGCGCAAGCGCAGUUCCGGGCUCCCAGCGGCGGGGUCCUCUUUCCCGGGGUUCCCACCUUCCUGGCAGCUGGGUGCCGAGGCGUGGGCUUCUCUCCGCGGCUCGCGUCGUACUCCGGACACUCGCCCCCAGCACCCAGCCCCCAGCCCCCGAGCCCCCAGCACCCGAGCCCUGCUGUGGCUCGCACGCCUCUUCCGGCAACACACCCAUGGCGGAGCGUGGGGAACUCGACCUGACCGGCGCCAAGCAGAACACCGGAGUGUGGCUGGUCAAGGUUCCUAAAUAUUUGUCACAGCAGUGGGCUAAAGCCCCUGGAAGAGGUGAAGUCGGGAAACUGCGGAUUGCUAAGAAUCAAGGAAGGACUGAGGUGUCAUUUACUUUGAAUGAGGAUCUUGCAAAUAUUCAUGAUAUUGGUGGAAAACCAGCUUCAGUCAGCGCUCCUAGAGAACAUCCAUUUGUCUUGCAAAGUGUUGGAGGACAAACAUUAACAGUAUUUACUGAGAGCUCUUCAGAUAAGCUUUCAUUGGAAGGAAUAGUGGUACAAAGAGCUGAAUGCCGACCUGCUGCAAGUGAAAACUACAUGAGAUUAAAGAGACUGCAAAUAGAAGAAUCUUCUAAACCUGUACGGCUAUCACAACAACUGGACAAAGUUGUGACAACCAAUUACAAACCUGUUGCCAAUCAUCAAUACAAUAUUGAAUAUGAAAGGAAAAAGAAAGAAGAUGGAAAACGAGCUCGAGCUGAUAAACAGUAUGUCUUAGACAUGCUGUUUUCGGCUUUUGAGAAACAUCAGUAUUAUAAUCUUAAGGACCUGGUGGACAUCACAAAACAGCCUGUGGUGUACCUGAAGGAAAUCUUAAAAGAAAUUGGUAUUCAGAAUGUAAAAGGGAUCCACAAAAACACAUGGGAGCUGAAGCCAGAGUAUAGACAUUAUCAAGGAGAAGAAAAGAGUGAUUAAGAAGACUCCAAGCCAGCAUUCAAACAGAACAACUAAGGGUGAUGUGUUAAGCAUACGGCAUUGAUACUUGAACUUGAGCACCAUGUAUUAUAGGGGCAAAAUGACUGAAACUUUAAUUUCUCUAGAGAUUCAUCUGAAAGUCUACAGACCUCAGCCUGCAAGCUUAGUGUAUUGCAAUGAAAACACCUCUGCUUUGUGGAUGUCUCAAGGAGCAUGCAGUUGAAAAUGGAUACCAAGGAAUCGACUGGGAGAAGACAAGAGAAAAACAAGAUUAUUUUAACCUGCACUGAGAACUCGGAAUGAAUCCACGCUGACACUGUGACCUGGACCCCUUGUGAGAAGCCCCUGCCCUCAUCUGAAGCCCAACAAUGAAAUAGCCAAAAGCUAUUAACAGGGAUGGAAAAACUCAGGACCUAGGAAAACCAAUAUUGGCUAAUGACAGUUGUUUUUAUCAAACAGACCAAAUGGUAACUCCAGUUUGGGAUAAAACAAAGGUUCAACUGAUUUGAAAUAAUGGAUGAAGCCAGACUAAGCUUUGAACAAAGAAAAUUUAUACAGUAGAUUUUUUUAUCCUGGCAACAGUUGACGAAUUGAGGGCACACGAAUACCAAACGAAAUGAUUCUUGAUGUUUUCGAUUUCAUUGCUUCACAUUAUCAGCAGGGCCUGGACCAGGACGCUCAUCAGUUUGAAAAUGGGCAUUGACCAAGAAAUAGUUAUUCAUUUCUGUUGAUUCUUAUAAAUUUUGAAAAUGAACUGUAUGUUAAUAAACACUGACUUUAUAA